GUCAACGACACCGCGGUGCGUGAAAGUGAAACCAUAGGUGAAACGCGGAAAAAGAAACUUCGAGGCCGGCGGUAUUGCUGUGUUUUUAAGUGCCACAACCAAGAAGGCUAUGAUAGCAGCGUGUCUUUUUACACAUUCCCUUCAAAGCCGUACGAGUUAGAGCGGCGGCAACGUUGGAUACAAGCUGUUCGACGUGCUGGGCCUGACGGCAAGCCAUGGCAGCCGAAUGCGAGCACCAGAAUAUGCAGCCGUCACUUCUUCGGCAAUGCAAAGAGUAAUUGCAUGCACCAUCCCGCCUACGUGCCAACAAUUUUUCCUUCAGCAUACCGCUGCACGGUUCCAUGCGACCCUUCGGCACCAACAGAGCGUUACCACCGAUGGGCAGAGCGAGCUCGAGCAUGUGCGAAAUCGCCUACGAAUUGCCAGGAGCCAUCACAACAAAGUGAAAGGAGGGCAAGUGGAAAACAAUGUUGCAUUUUGGUUCAGAAAUCAUAGAAAAAUUUACUUUUUCCGUUUACACAGGACAAGGACACUCACAGUUUGGUUGGAGGCUCCAAUCAGCAGCAGUUAAUUGACUUUUUCCAUUUAUACAGGACAAUGACAUUCACAGUUUGGCUGGAGGCUUGUAUCAGCAGCAGUCAUGCCUUGAACCGCCAAAUGGACACAGUAGCCUGGAGCUGAUUGAAUACAAUCUUGAAGAGGAGCACAUUGAGGCAUUAGACCUUACAGUGCAAAAGGUGUGCCAGAAAGAAGAAUCAGCCGCACCAUGCUUCAUAACACCAGCAGGAAAUUUGCCAUGCCUAUCACACCGUGCCGCAGGACCAGACUCUAGGGUUUGCUUUUUUGGGGGAUUCGACACAGUUUCCUUAACACCCGGUGCAGUGAGAGAUCUCUGUGGCGUUUCAGACAAUGUUUUCUCGCUCCUGUUAAGUCUCCUGCCUCACACGAGAGAUAAGAGUACUGA